UACGUAGGUGGCAAGCGUUGUCCGGAUUUACUGGGCGUAAAGAGCGCGCAGGCGGUCGGAUCAGUCGAAUGUGAAAGCCCCCGGCUCAACUGGGGAGGGUCAUUCGAUACUGUCCGACUCGAAGGCAGGAGAGGGAAGCGGAAUUCCCGGUGUAGUGGUGAAAUGCGUAGAUAUCGGGAGGAACACCAGUGGCGAAGGCGGCUUUCUGGCCUGUUCUUGACGCUGAGGCGCGAAAGCUAGGGGAGCGAACGGGAUUAGAAACCCCCGUAGUCC
rnacentral:rRNA from 1 species